CCGGGAGUUACACACCAACGAAUUUCUAAAGAAAGCCUAACAAAAAGGCAAAUAAAGCAAGAGGAUUCUCACAGACUCACUGCUGCAGGGCUUUAAAAUCUCAGCCUCAUCUAUUGAACACUAGCCCAGCUUCCCUCAACCCCUCAAAGCAGCAAGAUUUAUGCAAGCCUCCUGUGACAGCAGAGCUUCUGUCCCAUCAGUAGCCUUAUCAAAUCUGUCCUAUAGCCCCAUCAGACCUGAGCGAACACCUGCUUUCCAGGAAUGAUAUAUCCCAGAUCAAACUGCUUCUUAAGCUCGUGUUAUGGAAGAAAAAGACAUAUGCAACAUAAUGGCAGCUCACUGCAGCUGAAGUAAUAUAAAGUCAAAGGAGUCCCUCUUGCAUCAGGAGUCCCUUUUGCAUCAGUACAAAGGAGUCCCUCUAAUGAUGAGAUAUUUGUGAGAUACCAAAAGGACUUUUUGGUGCCCUUAAGUAAUACCAUGUAGGUAGCUGCCAGUUGGUCAUGAAAGAAAAACUAUAGCUAUAAGCCAGAAGAGGAAACAUCUGCAGAGAUUCCUGCUGGAGUGCGAGCACUGCGAUGUGGUGAUGUGAGAGAUGGAAGAGUCCUGAAGUUCUUCCCAGGUCCCUCCUACCUCCAUCCUUCCCAGGAUCACCCAGGGCCACCUGACUCCCCCACUGUUCCAACCCCUGCCUGUUCUCCUGUCCACACUAGGGCUACAUGUGUUCUGAGCACAAAGAUAGAACCAGCAUCCUCUGCAUCGCUCACCUAUUCCCUCUGGAGGCUGACUGCUCUGGGGUCUCAGGGAGACCGGGAGGCUGCAGCUCUCUCCUCUGACACCUUUCUGAAUAGCACAGACAACUCUUCUCAAGACUCUCUGAGGCUGAGGCUUUCUGACAUUUAGUCUAAGGUCCCUGGGACACAACAGCAGAGGCUUCCUGCCCCUCACCUUUCAGUCAUCAGGACAAUGUUUUGUUGCUUGUUUGCUUCCUCAGCCACCCUUGGAGAUAGGCAGGAGACCUCAGAUAACCCCAGUUGUGAGAGAGAUCAUCGUGGUCUCAGAGAACAAAUGCUGCAGAUGCUGUCACGUCUCUUGCUCGACUGGUUAGAACCUUUUGGUUCCUUUGGGGAUGAUAAAAACACACCACGUUCUCCUCUUCUACAAUUCAUUCAAAAAGUUAGCAUCGGUUUCCAUGUUUUUGAUUCUGCCACCACUGCGAACCUAUUCUUCCAAGUGCCACAAAUAUUAUAAUAACAUUUCUCUUCCUAUUACUCUUCCUUCAAAUAAUUUCUAAGGAACAUACCCAAUAGCACAGGAAUCAGGUAGUCAGGGGAGCCAGGAGCCUGCAGACCUGCACUUUGCUUUGGAUUGUGGCUCUAUCCAUCCACUGUGUGCCCUUGAACAAGAUACCACUCUUGUCAGCCUCGAUUUCACCACUUGUUAAAGAGAUGUACCAGAGUUUGCUCCCCCUUCCUCAGUCUUUCCUCGAGGACUGGACGAAGCCACAUAUAUCACAGCGACAUGGGAUGUGCAGGGUAUGAUACAUGCGCAUUGUCAUCAGGCAGCAGAACAAAAUAGUUAACAGCGCAGAUGCUGGAGCCACACUGCCAGUAUUCUUCUCUGGAAAAUCAGGAUAAGGAUGUAGAUUGAAAGCUCUGAAAUCCCCAAAGCCCAGAAAACCAAAAGCUUUUUCAUAAGUGGCAUACUCAAACUUAUUUGGUGUCACAUUCAAUGUGAUGGUUUUGGUGGGCUUUGUCUAGCCCACUGGCUGCAGAAAUGUCCAUGUGCUUGUUUACUAAGUGCUGCCCUAGACCCCUCUGGGAAUCAUUACACAAUACACAGUGUAGGCACCAUAUUGUUUUUCUAUGAUAUGAACAAUUCAGUAUUGGAAACACAUUUGGCCUCAAGGAUUUUGGAUAUAGGAUUGUGGGCCUUCAAUACUGAACUCACAGGGCUGCUAUGAGCAGUCAGUUGAUUCAGGUAAAGCUCUAAUAAGAGUGUCUGGCCCACAGUAGGUGCUCAAUGGAUGUUACCUGCCAUUACUGUUCCUUCUUUUAUGCAACCCUGAGCACCUCGAACAAUUUCCACAUUGCCCUGGACCUCCUAUUUGUGCCCUGGAACCAUUAAUGUCUGGAUUUCUCUCUAUUCAAUCACACAGCACCAGACUCACCUGAGGUUCUGUCUUCUCAACUCUCCACCAAAAUGCUCUCCUUGUUAGGAAUGUGGAAAUCCUCUCGGUAGCAACCCUCACACCCUUCCCUCUGCCUUCUUGGUAGUGAAGGAGGCUGGGAGAGGGCUCUGGGAAGAAUCCCAGCAGUGUCUCAGACACCUAGCUCACCCCGACAUACCUCCUAUGGGCUGCAUGGCUGAGAUCCCAUAUGUGUGGGUGCAGCUCUUCUUCCUUUAGAGAAAUUAAUCCCACCUUUCUAGACCUCUGUUUCUCAUGAAUAAAACACAACAGUCAGCCUAGAUGAGAAUGACAUGCCUUCUGGCCCCCUGAAAUCCUACCUCCCGGACAUCUUGGAUGCCACUUCAGCAGUCAGGUGAUGUGAGAUGGGGGAUGAAAGCUACCUCACUUCAGCUCCAAGUAUGGUAGUACAUCCAGCCCCAAGAGGGCCAAAUGCAAAGCAUUCUGGAACUUUGUUACCACAAGACAUUAGAUCCUCUUUUCCUGACUCCUGGGUACUGAAACCAACCUGACUGUAGAAACAGGCCUUUGGUCAUCCUCUGGACAAGUUCAGACAUGAACUGGACAGUCUCACAUUCAAGGAGGUGCAGCUGGGAGCCAGAGGGCUGCAGGCAAGGAUGCCACACACUGAUUCAGGCAGAGACCAGGCAGCACACUGACCAGUACCGGGAUCUGGUCCAAAGACAAUAGAACCCUGAUGUGGUGGUGAGAGAGGCUGAGGCAGGAGCAGGAGAGGGACUUUGGAGAGUGACUGUGGUUCAGGGUAGGGUUCUAGUUCAGGAGGGAGACACAUAUGAGGGAGGGUGUGUGAGGAGAGGGGAAACAUGACAGAAGACUGGUGCUGUAGACUCGGUUACCCAGAGGUGGGGUGAAUCACCAUGACCCUAAAAUCAUGGGCUCCCAGGGCUCUUUCCUAGAGCACCAAAUGCUGCCAUAUUGUGACAAGACACUGUUAGAUGCCAGUCUCACCUCCCUGUUAUCCUUAUGAAAAGAACCCAAUUUUAUUUUAGAAACAGUCUAACUGAUUAAAAACACUUACAUCCCCAGAGUCCCAGGUAUGUUUAGUAAGCUAAGCAGACAUUCCUGCAAAGGGCUGCAGGAAAAUGUGUUAAAGGGGUCAAUUCAGUUGGCAUUUGCUUUUCCCCUUUAUCCUUUCCCCCCUUUUUUUGUGCAUGGAACUCAUACAGGAUGCUGAAAGAAAAAACAGCCGUCUAGUGAGCAGGAAGCCCCAAGUCACAGGCUCAGCCUGGGGGAUCUGAAAGCUAAAAGAAGCCGAAGACCCUGAUGGCUCUGGAGAAGUCACAAGACAGCCCUGAAUGCUCUUGCAGCCUCCUGUCAUGUCAUAAGACCCCCAUUUCAAGAGGGUCCUGCUGCAUACCCAGAAGGAAGGAAUACUGCACAGAGAAGCUAAGAGGAAUUUAAACAGACAGACCUUGCUGGACUUUCCUACUCAGUCUAUUAACAUUAGAUCAUACCCUUUCUGCCCAGUUAUUUUUCUCCAUGGCUGUCCGUACUUCAUUGAACCCAAGCCUAAAAAUGGGCAGUUUCCCCGUAUCUUUGGGUCUUUAUUCUGAAGGCUCCGUGUAAAACUGUAAUCAAAUAAAUCUGUAUACCUUUUC
rnacentral:lncRNA from 10 species